GGAAGGGGUGUAUUUAUUAGAUAAAAAACCAACGCCCUUCGGGGCUCCUUGGUGAAUCAUAAUAACUUAACGAAUCGCAUGGCCUUGCGCCGGCGAUGGUUCAUUCAAAUUUCUGCCCUAUCAACUUUCGAUGGUAGGAUAGUGGCCUACCAUGGUGGCAACGGGUAACGGGGAAUUAGGGUUCGAUUCCGGAGAGGGAGCCUGAGAAACGGCUACCACAUCCAAGGAAGGCAGCAGGCGCGCAAAUUACCCAAUCCCGAUACGGGGAGGUAGUGACAAUAAAUACUGAUACGGGGCUCUUUUGGGUCUCGUAAUUGGAAUGAGAACAAUUUAAAUCCCUUAACGAGGAACAAUUGGAGGGCAAGUCUGGUGCCAGCAGCCGCGGUAAUUCCGGCUCCAAUAGCGUAUAUUAAAGUUGUUGCAGUUAAAAAGCUCGUAGUUGAACCUUGGGUCUGGUUGGCCGGUCCGCCUCACCGCGAGUACUGGUCCGGCUGGACCUUUCCUUCUGGGGAACCUCAUGGCCUUCACUGGCUGUGGGGGGAACCAGGACUUUUACUGUGAAAAAAUUUAGAGUGUUCAAAGCAGG
rnacentral:rRNA from 1 species